GGGCAGUUAGCUCAGCUGGAAGAGCAAUUCCCUUACAAGGAAUAGGCCGCAGGUUCAAAUCCUGCACUGCCCACCA
rnacentral:tRNA from 1 species